UACGAAGGGUGCAAACGUUGCUCGGAAUUAUUGGGCGUAAAGCGCACGUAGGCGGCUUGGCAAGUCGGAUGUGAAAGCCCUCGGCUCAACCAAGGAAGUGCAUCCGAAACUGCUGAUCUUGAGUACUUAAGAGGAUCGCGGAAUUCCCGGUGUAGAGGUGAAAUUCGUAGAUAUCGGGAGGAACACCAGUGGCGAAGGCGGCGAUCUGGGAAGAUACUGACGCUGAGGUGCGAAAGCGUGGGGAGCAAACAGG
rnacentral:rRNA from 1 species